AAGUGCUCGGACCACAAAAAUGGACGAAAUGUUGAAGCUAAAGCAGCGGCUCCGACAGUUGGAACAGGAGGUGGCCGAGCUUAGGGGAAGUUCCUCUGUGCCUCGGCAAUCGGGAUCCGGGUCACACAAGUAGUUCUUCAGUGACUCCCGAGGUUUCAGGAGAGCGUCUUUCGGGUUGGCGCCUCUGGGACUAUGACAAAAUCAAAUGCAUGAAUUAAAGUGCAUUAAAAGUUUUGUGCCCUUUAUGUGGGGCGAUAAAGAGGCCCCAGCUCCUGCCCACCUCCGAUUUCUAACAGAGACUAGCAGAAUUAGUGAUUGGCUGUCUGACCUACACAAAAAAUGCAUGGUCACGACUAACAUGAGCUGUUUUGGCCGUCAUAAAAUUCUGCCAGUUUCUGUUAGUCAGAUCUUGCCUGUGUCCGACUACGCAAAAAGGAAAUCGCUUUCCUUUUCAGUCAUUUGAGGGGACAGCUCAAACCCUUAGCUAAGCGGAUAGUCGGACACAGGAAAGAGGUCAAGGAGAAGAAGUCCCAGAGGAUGCCGACCCGGGAGAACCUCUCAGAACCGGUGACUGAGCUGCUGACCCGGAUCCCUGAAUGUUUAGACGGCAGGUGGAGGAGGUUCAUAAAACAAUGGAGAUCGAGCUGUCGGGGGAAGGCCCCAGUGGCGCCACAUCUAGGUCAUGGUGGCACUGCGGAGGGAGACCUGGAGCCACAAAAGGGGAUGGUCCUGGACCAGCUGUGGGAGGAGCAGGGGCUGCAGCAGGAGGUGGGGCCAGAUGAGCUGGAGGAGGG